rnacentral:rRNA from 1 species
UACGGGGGGGGCAAGCGUUGUUCGGAAUUACUGGGCGUAAAGGGCCAGUAGGCGGCCAACUAAGUCGGAUGUGAAAUCCCCAGGCUCAACUUGGGAACUGCAUCCGAUACUGGAUGGCUUGAAUUCGGGAGAGGGAUGCAGAAUUCCAGGUGUAGCGGUGAAAUGCGUAGAUAUCUGGAGGAAUACCGGUGGCGAAGGCGGCAUCCUGGACCGACAUUGACGCUGAGGAGCGAAAGCUAGGGGAGCAAACGGG